UACGAAGGGGGCUAGCGUUGUUCGGAAUUACUGGGCGUAAAGCGCACGUAGGCGGAUUUUUAAGUCAGGUGUGAAAUCCCGGGGCUCAACCUCGGAACUGCAUUUGAAACUGGAAGUCUUGAGACAAGGAGAGGUUAGCGGAAUACCGAGUGUAGAGGUGAAAUUCGUAGAUAUUCGGUGGAACACCAGUGGCGAAGGCGGCUAACUGGACUGGUACUGACGCUGAGGUGCGAAAGUGUGGGGAGCAAACAGG
rnacentral:rRNA from 1 species